CAAAUAUCUUAGGCUACGAUCCAAGAAAAGAAAGUAGACACAAUAAGGAAUCUGUGAAAGGAAAGUUGAAGUAAUUCGGGUACCGGAAGCUCAAGAAAAGAGGUGAUAAGGAGCUUGUCGAGGAUGGGAGCGGACUCUAGAGCAGGUGCCAUAGACAAACCUCACCCGUCGUCUUCAACCCUUUGUUUUAAAAUG